rnacentral:lncRNA from 1 species
UGGGAACCCUUAGGGGGUAGGGAUGGACCCAGCGAUGCGAGGAACUGAGCGGUGGUGCUGCAGAGUCUUUGCAAAUACUCUGGUGACCAGGUGGUGAUCGACGGAAAUUUUGGUUUUGUACGCCCGGGGUCAUCACCAUCACCACUGUCAGUGGCGGAGCUUUACAAACAAAUAUUGGAAGCUCGUCAGAAUCAUCAUCUUCCUACAGACCGAGGGUUUGAUCGGUCGCUGGUUCCAGAUCCCACCUCCACGGGGGCCGCCUCCUCCGACCAGUUGGUCAGUUGGGUGCUGGGAACCCUUAGGGGUUAGGGACGGACCCAGCGAUGCGAGGAAUGGAGCAGUGGCAUUGUCAGAAUCUUUGCAAAUACCCUGGAGUCUGGAUAUUGGUAUAUCCAAAACAUCGUAUACUCCCUCCGUUCCUAAAUAUAAGUCUUUUUAGAGAUUACAAUACAGACUACAUAUGGAGCAAAAUGGGUGAAUCUACAUUCUAAAAUGCAGAUCAUCAUCAUCCUGUAUGUAGUCCUUGUUGAAAUCUCUAAAAUCUCCUCACAAUCAUCAUCAUCAUCUCCCUUGCUGUCACAAUCAGCUUGGUCCUCUUUGGUUCACAGGAUUCUAGAAAAGAAUGGCAGGAAUAUGUGAUUGUCCUAAAGAAUUCCUUUGAAUCAAAGAGGCCCCCAACUUGUUGCUGCUGCUGUUGUUGGUGGUGCAAGCUAUUGCAAAGUUCAUAUGAACUUCCUUUGGAUCAAAGAGGCCCUAAGGCUGUCGCACCUUUUGUUUGUGAAUGAUGCAUGGCUUUAUGAUUAACCAGUUUGUGGUUGCUGAACUGUGCCAUGCUGAAUGGAAUUUCCAUUUUGGCGAGUCCGCUCGAGUUGCUCUUAGCUGGUGCGGGGCUAUGAUGAUUGAUUAUGGCUGAUAUAAGCACACUCUCGAGCAAUUGAGGCACUUGCGGGUAUUAAGUUGGAUCCCCCCUUGUUUCUUUGAGCCGUUUUGAUCAUGUGCUUAUUUUAGUGGCUCUGUCCUUGGAUGGUCAUUUCUGAUGAGUGAUAACCAGGGCAGUUUCACCAUUGUAAGAACAAAUUGAUCCGGUGAUGGAGACACUAGGGAAAGGGUCAUAUGAUCGAGCAAAGGCGAAUCUGAGCCGGUGAGCCCAUUCAAAUGCAGUUCUGGUCUCAAGCACAAUGUGCUAUGUUGCCAUUCUGUAUUUGUAUUUAGCACCUCCUUGGUUUGCAGGAUUUUAAGAACACACUGAAGAAAAAAAAAUGCAGGAUUGCAUUGUUAGGGCAUCUCCACCGCAGACCCCCAAGGUUCCGUCCGCAAAUGUCUGCGGACAGCCGGCCGGGCCUAGGCCAUUCUUGCUAGGGCGAUGAUGAUUGACCAUGGCUGAAAUAGUGUGCCUUUGAGCAAUCGAGGCACCUGUGGGUAUCAAGUUGGAUCCUCCCUCUUGUCUCUAGAAUCCUUUGAUCCUGUGAUACUGAUUGCUCUGUCCUUGGACGGUCAUUCUUCUUGAGUGAUAACCAGGGCAGCUCCACAGUAUAAACUGGUUGAUCUGGUGAUAGCAGAUGAUGUGGGUAGGUUAUAUGAUCGAGCAAAGGCGAAUCUGAGCCCACUAUGCAAUAUAAGCUCCAAUGUUUAUAUUUGUCUUGUGUAAAGAUUUCUUCUCUUAUACCUUCAUUGCAUAAGUUAUGCUUGAUCUUUUAUCGUUCGCUGUUGCUCCUUAAUUUAAUCUGGUUAAGAGUAAGUUUCACUUUGUUAUAUUAGGGAGACUUCUAUUUUUCCGCAAGUUACCAGUUGCAGCUAUUUGUUCUUACAAUGCUUCAAAUAAUAAUGCAACUGGAUUUUUUUGGAGAGAAUGCUGGACUGUUCAUGUAAAGAGUGACCGAGGCGGCACGUCACAUGUUACUGUCUGUAUCCAUAAGCAAUUUUUCAACUGCUGUGAUUUAGUUGCUGGGCUAAUCUGGGCCAUUGAGCGGACAUUCCCUUUUGUUUUCUUUACUUUGUUCAGAAGCUUUCCCCAAUUCUGUCUAUCACCACUGCAUUUUUUGGAUCAUGCACCAGACUAAAUGUCGGUGAACUUCGAAGGAUGUGUGUUUUGUUAGCUUCUUAACUUGUUUCCUUGCUAAGUAAACCUUCGGGGUUAUUCAGUUUUGUUGCCCUCUUUGUAGAUAUAGUUUUGGUCUUUUACAUUGCUUUGUCAUGCACUCUUCCUGGCAAGCUUAUAACAGUGAUGACUUUGUCCAUUUAGUCAUAGCAACUAUUUGAAUUAUCAAAAUUCGCUACCAUUUGGUUACCACCAGAUGUUUGUCUUGACAAAACAUGGUCCAGGAAGGCAUUUUGUCUGCUAUGUUUUUUGAAAUAGAAUUCUGAUUCGGGGCAGUGAUGAUUGACCAUUGCUGAUAUAAGCAUGCUCGAGCAAUCGAGUAAGCUGUGGUAUAAGUUGAAUCCUCCCUUGUCUCUUGGAGCCGUUUCAACCACGACAAGAAUUAUGGGACGGAGGGAGUAUAUAUUUUUUUGUGGCUGUCCUUGGAAGGUCAUUUUGAUGAGUGAUAACCAGGGCAGCUCCACAGUAUAAACGGGCUGAUCUGGUUAUAAGAGAUGNNNNNNNNNNNNNNNNNNNNNNNNNNNNNNNNNNNNNNNNNNNNNNNNNNNNNNNNNNNNNNNNNNNNNNNNNNNNNNNNNNNNNNNNNNNNNNNNNNNNNNNNNNNNNNNNNNNNNNNNNNNNNNNNNNNNNNNNNNNNNNNNNNNNNNNNNNNNNNNNNNNNNNNNNNNNNNNNNNNNNNNNNNNNNNNNNNNNNNNNNNNNNNNNNNNNNNNNNNNNNNNNNNNNNNNNNNNNNNNNNNNNNNNNNNNNNNNNNNNNNNNNNNNNNNNNNNNNNNNNNNNNNNNNNNNNNNNNNNNNNNNNNNNNNNNNNNNNNNNNNNNNNNNNNNNAGCCCCCUCAAAUGCAAUUCUAGUGCUCCUUCAGCAUAAUAUGCUACGUUCUUUCUCUUUUUUUAUCUGUAUUUGAAGGUGUCGCUUAUUUUUAUAGCUGUCCUGUGUAUAUAUUUCUUCCCUCGUACCUUUAUUGUGAAGAUGUUCUUGCUCUUUUUUGUUUCGUUCUUACAUCUAUUCUGCACUAUACGUCAAGUAUCAGCCAAAAUAAAAUUUGGUCUUUGAUGCUACAUAUUCAGUUAAUUUUGUUCCCACUGUACAGCUUAAAUGGAUUGUCAUGGCCCCCCAGCACACUAUACUUUGUGGUUGCACACAUGCAUGGCAAAAUACUCCAAAUCUGAUGUGGUCUAAUGAUGCUCUAUCAUGUAUUUUAAAAGCAUGCCUUGGGGCAAGCUUCUAUAUCACCACCCUUCUCCACAGAAGCAUGUUCAAGUCAUAAGCUUGGUGAUGCUGUAAUUCAUAUGGUCAAUCAGAUAAUCAGUGCAACAUGCUCAUCAUAUGUUUGGAUGCAACUGAGAGUGCAGAUGCACAUUAGAUGCUGUGAAUAAAAGGUUGUGUGCUUGGCCAGUAAUUUUAAUAUGUGAGGCCUCCAUUGGCUAUGUAUAAUAUAAUGUUCUUUUGCCAUGUAUGUGUUCAGUGUUGGUUAACAAAAUGCUAAUGUUAAGUGAAAUUCUUUAAUAUCAAACGAAUUCUUUGUACAGAUUUUUUUUAGUUCUAUUGGAUUUCCCAUAAUAGUUUGUAUACCGGUCUACCAUUGUGUCUCUUCAUGAAUGUGGUACUGCUGAGCAAGCCUGAGAAGCCUUUGUAAUAGUUUGUGUAUUUCCUUUCAACUGCGAUAAUGUGUGCAUUUUCAUCUUGAUUCUAAAGUACAUCUUUCCUUUCUACUUGAAGUUAGAUGGAGGUCACUAGGCAUCAGGAGGAUUGCAUAGCCCAAUAUCCUCCCUUGUUACAUAAUUUUGCAAGCUAUUGGUGACCACGAAUAAUUAUGGGUGCUGUAUGCUAAACAAUGCUCUCUGUUUAAUGCAAAGUAUAUUGUUUGUAGGCACUAUUUGGUUUUGCUUGACAUUCGUUUUGGUGGUUUGCAUUUAAGUUAAAAUGCAGGCAGUGGUUGUUCUUUAUUGUUUGGUCAUUUGAUUUUGCUCUUCUUUUAGUUGUACUUGUUCUUUAUUGUUUUGGAUUUUGUUGCUUUCAGGAGAUAGCUUCUUCUCGGUUGCUUCUUCAGUCUUGUAAUCCAUGAUCAUUUUGCUGCUCUCAGUAGAUAGCAUAUUCUUUAUUCUUUGGUCAUUCGAAGGAUGUUUGUUUUGUUAGCUUCUUAACUUCCUUUUCCUUGCUAAGCAAGCCUUUCGGGUAAUUCUGUGUUGUUGCUGCCUUCUUUUUACAUAUAGUUUUGCAUCGCUUUGCUUUGCACUCUUCCUGGCAUGCUUAUAACAGAGACCUUUGUCCAUUAGACAUAGUAACUAUUUGAAUAAUCAAAAUUUGCUACCAUUUGGUCACCACCAGAAGUUUUUUAGUUGACAAAACAUGGUCCAGGAAGGUAUUUUGUCUGCUAUGUUUUUUGAAAUAGGAUUCUGAUUUGGGGCAAUGAUGAUUGACCAAUGCUGAUAUAAGCAUGCUCUCGAGCAAUCGAGUAAGCUGUGCAUAUUCAGCUGGAUCCUCCUUCGUCUCUUGGAGCCGUUUCAACCAUGACAAGAAUUAUGGAACGGAGGGAGUACUAAGAGCAACUCUAGCAGAUUUGCUAUAUUUUUGGUGGCUCUGUCCUUGGAAGGUCAUCUUGACGAGUGAUAACCAGGGCAGCUCCACACUAUAAACGGGUUGAUCUGGUGAUAAGAGAUGAUGGGGGUAGGUUACAUGAUCGAGCAAAGGCGAAUCUGAGCCCCCCUCAAAUGCAAUUCUAGUGCUCUUUCGGCAUAAUGUGCUACACUGUUUCUCUUUUUUUAUCUGUGUUUGGAAGGUGUCGCUUAUUUAUGCAACUGUGUUUAUAGCUGUCCUGUGUACAUAUUUCUUCCCUCUCAUACCUUUAUUGCGUAAGUUGUUCUUGCCCUUUUUUUUUCCGUUCUUGCAUCUGUCUGCACUAUAGUACAUCAAGUAUCAGCCAAGAAAAAUUUGUACUUUGAUGCUACACAUUCAGUUUUCAACUUAAAUGGAUUCCUGUGGCCCCCAGCACACUAUAUUUUGUGGUUGCACACACGCACAGCAAAAUACUCCAAAACUGCUGUGGUCUUAUAAUGCUCUAUCAUGUACUAUUUUAAUAAGCAUGCCUGAGCGCCAGCCCUUCUCCACAGAAGCAAGUUCAAGUCAUAAGCCAGUGUUGGUGGUGCUGUAAUUCGUAUGGUCAAUCAGAUAAUCAGGGCAACAUGCUUGUCGCAUACCUUUUGGAUACAAUUGAGAGUGCAUAUGCACAUUAAAUGCUGUGAAUCAAAGCUUGUGUGCCUGGUCAGUAAUUUUGAUAUGUGAGCCCUUGAUUGGCUUAUGUAUAAUAUGUUGUUCUCUCGCCAUGUAUGUGUUGGGUGUUGGUUAACAAGAUGAUGAUGUUCAGUAAAAAAUUUCUAUAUCAAACAAAUUUGUUUUACAGAGUUUUUUAGUUCUAUUGAAUUUCCCAUGAGAGUUUGUAUACCGGUCUACCAUUUUGACUCUUCAUGAAUGUGGUCUUGCUGAGCAAGCCUGAGAAGCCCUUGUACUAAUAGUUUGUAUUUGAGCAGUUUCUUCCUUUCAACUGCGAUGAUGUGUGCAAUUUCAUCUUGAUUCUAAAGUAGAGUUUCCUUUCUACUAGUAGGCAUCAGGAGGAUUACAUAGCCCAAUAUCCUCGCUUGCCACAUAAUUUUGCAAGCUAUUGGUGACCACAAAUUAUUACGGGUUCUGUAUGCCAAACAAUGUGCUCUGUUUAAUGCAAUUUUUUUUAUUAUAUUGCUAUUGCACAAGAUUUCUGGUUCCUCCUAAUUUUGAGGCACUAUUUGGUUAUGCUUGACAGUAAUUUUGGCGCUUUAGAUUUCAGCUAGAAUGCACGCAGGAUAUGUUGUUUGCUCAUUUGAUCUUUUUCUUCUCUCCUACGUCUACUUGUUCUUUAUUUGUUUCUGAUCAUUUUGCUGCUCUCAAGAGAUGCCUACCAUAUUCUCGCCUGGUUCAUCAGUGACCUCAUCCAUUUGGUUUGGUGCCAAAAGAGGAAGGGUCUCCCAACCAAGUUUCAUGUUGAUCUUAUUGGCUCUAGCUGUGAUCUUGUAGAUAUAGCUGCCUGUGGAACAUAUUUUUGCGUCUCCUAAGUUGGGUUCUAGAGUGGUUGCACUCUGUUAUACCAAGGUAGACUUGCUGGCUUGUUUUUAAAUGGUUGUCAUACCAGCAUUGUUUUCUCCCAGCAAAUUGCCAGCUGCAGCAGUUUGUUCUUACAUGCGACAGAGAACGAGUACGGUGCAUGUUUGCUGUCUGUAGCCAUAAGCAAUUUUUUGACUGCUGUGAAUGAUUGAGUUGCUGGGUUUAGCUGAGCCAGUGUGGUGAUAUUUUGACUGCCGUUACUGUUGCCUCGAGUGCCCGUUUGGGUGUUCGACGCCUACGGUCUGUUCCAAGUGCUGCGGUUUUGUCGUGUUACCCCGUGACAGGUUUCUUCAAUGUUAAUAGGCAUCAUUCAGCAUGUUCUUGUUUUCUCAAACCGUUUUGUCUCAAUCUCUUGGACCUGGUUUGAAAAUUAUACACUUUUGGUUGUACGUGUGCAGGGCUGCAUGUAGGCUGGCUGCGGUGGCUGGGAGUGUGUACGUUCUCGCACACCCGCGCCUUCUUAAAUCCCACACCACAUGGGCAGUGACUCCGGCGAGCUGCAGGGAGUGACGGGCAGAAAUGGCGGCCUCCUCCCUCCUCGCCGCCAUCCUGGCGCUGCAGCUGCUUCUCCUCCUCGUGGCAUUCACGCCCGCACCAGCAGCAGCAGCGAGCCCCUCCAAGCGCCCCAUCCAUCAGCCUCCCUCUUUCCCCGCAGGAAUCUCUACCCUGCGGCGGCGGGCUGCAAGCUCGAGCGGCAGGCUCGCCACGGAGGCGGUGAAGCCGUUCACGGCGCACUACUUCCCCCAGGAGCUGGACCACUUCACCUUCACGCCCAACUCCUCUCGCGUCUUCUCCCAGAAGUACCUCCUCAACGACACCUUCUGGCGGAAACCCACCGGGCCGCUGUUCGUGUACAUGGGCGGCGAGGCUGACAUCGAGUGGUUGGCCACCACCACCGGCUUCAUGUUCGACAUCGCGCCAGAGUUCGGGGCUCUCAUCGUCUUCAUCGAGGUACUCUUCUUUGCCACAUCCUCCGCCAUGGCUGAUACUUUCAGCUAAUCAUCAUAUCAUCGGUUGCCACGCCUUAGUCCAAAUUUUGGUUGUUGUGCUGCACACCAUUUUAUUUGUAAUUAAGCAUAUUAAUAAUAUAAUUAUUAAAAGGUGAAUGCCUAAACGGACUAACGAAUGCAUCUAUAUAGACUGAAUAAUCUGUUACCUUGAUUAUACAUUAGAAUCUAAUUUUAAUGAUCAAAAUAAAAAAUAAUAUAAUAAUAAUAAUAAUAUAUGUGCAUCACAGCCACUCGUGAUGGAGCGGCGCUCCGGGUCGGGUGCAGUUCGAUUGAAACAAAGAGAGCAAUCCUGAUGGCAUCACUGCCGAUGUCAGCACUCAGGCAAUUAACCAAGUUGCUUUAUUUCACGUGUGCUAGCUAGGUUGACUGGAAUUUCAUUGCCACAACACUUGAUGGAUUUCACCGUACAAGAAUAUGACUAGAUCGAUUGAGACACAUACAAUUAUUUUCUGUUAGUUGGAUCAAGAGCAAAAAUUCCUGCAAAAGAAAAAUCAAUAGCAAAUGUAUCAACUAAAUAUUUUCCAUCCGUACUCCACAUAGUUCAUAGAUGUAAAUAAUUCUAUAUAAAGAGUAAAUAUAUAUAAAAACACAUUUCAAAAUGUUAAUAUAUUCUGAACAAUAAUUUCGCGUGUACAUCCGGACAUUCUAUGUUCGCACACAAAAUUUCGCAAAUAUAUAUAAAUUUUUUGUGGCAUGUAUAAAAGGAUAAAAAAAUGUCUCAUGAAUAGUUGUAAUGAAGCACCGAAAAUUGUCUUUUUUACACAAGCCACAAAAAAUGUCCUUUUUCAUCGAAACUUUGUGCGUGAACAUGUAAUGUCCGGAUGUACAUGCGGGAUUUUUUCUCGAAUUUUUUGAACUUUUUUAAAAUGUGUAUUUAGACAAUGGGUGCAAUACACCUAUGAAUCAAAGUGAAUUUCCGCUACAUACGGAUGUAUAUAGACAUAUUUAGAGUGUAGAUUUGCUCAUUUUACUUCUUAUGUAGUUCAUAUUGAAAUCUCUGAAGGGACUUAUAUUUAGGAACGAAGGGAGUAGGACAUUAACUAGCCCAAUUCAGGCUUUGAUAACAUAUAAGAUAAUAACAUGCGGAUUAUGUUAUAGAAAUCAAACUAAUAUGAUUGGAUUUGUAAUAUAUAUCUCUUUUCUUCACUUAUCAUUUGAUUAUUUUUAUCUUAACUACAAAUGAAAUAUUGAUUAUAUAGUUUAAAAUUAAAAAAAAUGUGUGCCUUGCAUUUGUUACGGAGGGACUAUGCAAUAAGUUAUUUUGGUCAUCAUAGAAACAUGAGACAUACUUACACGACAUGGUCGAUGAGAGAGAGAGAGAGAAAGAGAGAGAGAGAGAGAGAGAGAGAGAGAGAGAGAUAGUCGUGUUAAAUAGUAGAAUUUGGUGCAACCAACGUUGGCACAAUCAGCAAAAGCUAAGUUAUGACUCAUAUACCAUGGAUACAAUUAGAUCAACUCUAGCAGAUUUGUGGAAAACGGCCUUUGCGGGCUGGCUUGGACGGCCGCAGAUGCAGACUCCCCAAACAGACCCGUAUAAAAGGAUAUUCGCGGAAUAUACUUUUUUACGGUCUGCUCGGGCACCGCCGCGUCGACCCGCAAACAGAAAACGCCUAAUUCUCAAAUUUGACAUAGAUGCCCACACAUAAGUUCAAAUUCAAACAUAGCACAGUUUACCCGCCCCGACCCGCACUUUAGCGGUUAUUUUGCGGAUCGGGGCGGGAUGCAGGGUCUGCUAGAGUUGCUCUUAGAAAGGCAAGGUAAUGUUCAUGUCUACAAGGUAUGCAAGAGUUGGUAGCUAGAAAGAUAAAUACAGAUAAUGUUUUCACGAUUAUAGUUAAAUAUGAACACAUUACAUUAGUAGGCAUGCAACAAAGGAAAUUAGAGUAAGGCACGCAUGUGUGGAAGCAUGUCGAUGCAUGUCAUAUCCCUAAUUGAACCUAACUGCAAUACCACUAACGAUGAGAAAGGGAAGAAAAAAGGCCCAACGAUAUUAUGUUUCGAUUAUUUCUUAUUUAAAGCUCCUCUUCAAGAUAAAGAAGCAUCAUAAUGUGGUGUUAAUUUUUGGUGUCUAAUUUCUCAAGGUCAAUGAACCAGAUUGAGAAGAAAUAAACAAACAUGCUAUUACCAAAAUUUAACAACGGGCGACAAAUCUACCCACGCAAAUGCAUGGGUCAUUCCGCUAGUUGGCACUUAAGCUUCGUUAACGGUACUAAAUACUAUCAAUAUUCACUUGUUCAAAUUGCAACUUGUUUGAAAUUUGUGUGUCGGAGUGCAGCAUCGGUUCUACGGGGAGUCAAAGCCGUUCGGCAAUGACUCGUACAAGUCAGUUGACAUGUUGGGCUACCUGACGUCCACACAGGCGCUCGCCGACUUUGCCAUCCUCAUCACGAGCCUUAAGCAGAACAUGUCCAUUGUUGAUGCCCCCGUCGUCGUCUUCGGCGGCUCUUAUGGCGGCAGUAAGUCUAUCACUAACGUGUUUCCUUAUAUUAUAUCCGUUCAUGCAUUAGUCUGAAUCUCCUUAAGUUUAUUAUUAUUUUUAGGAGGGCGCUUGCCGCCUCUCGGCUCGUUUUGUUUUUAGGAAUCACCGGGGUUGGGGUGGGGAGGGGGGAAGAUCCCACAUGUAUAUAUAUAUAUAUAUAUAUAUAUAUAUAUAUAUAUAUAUAUAUAUACAGGGCAAGAAUUACAGGGUCAGGAUGAUGCGUGAAGAGAGGUAGUCUCACCAAGACAAUGCGACAACAUUACCAACCGGCUCCUUAAACCGCUGAGAUCAAAUGUUUGAAGUCCAAAAGAUGUUUAUAAUGGUAACUACACACCAAGGAGAUCAUGUUUAUAAUGCGACAACAGGAUUUCUGCCCAGAUGUCAUUAUCUAGGUGAGCAUAAGGGAGCACCAAAGAUCCUACACCACAUGUUAGGGGUGAUGCCGAGGUGACUCCAAAUCCGCAUGGAGCUCAGAGAGUUGAUGAGGAUGUGGUGGGCGUCCUACAAAUGUGCAUUGAGGGUAGCAACCGCUGGAGAUGUUUGUGGAAUAGAUUUCCUCUGGUAUCCAGACAUCCACAACAAAGAGUAGCUAGCCGAAGACCUUGAUCUUGUUGGGGUCGCAGAAGAGCCAUAUGAGAUCAGUGUGAUCGUAUCCCUAUACUCAUGAUUGAGAAGGUUGUAGACAACACCGGUGGGAGAAGUCAUUGGAGUAACAAAGACAAAACGGGCAAUUCGAAGCAACAUUGGCAAGACCAUUUCGUAGAUUCGCAUGCAAUCCAUCUUGCAUGGUCUCAUGGAGUAGGAUGUUGGUUUUUUCCGGUCGACGGUGGCGGCGGCCGCGGGCGUUGUUUCCUUCAUGAAGGCUCUGUUGUGGUGUUCCCUUUCCUUCACGUUGCUCUGGGUGAAAACUCGAUCUUCGGGGUCGGGCGGUGGCGACAAUCCGAUGUCAUGCCCUUCUUGAAGGCACCGCCUUGGAGUCCAUCCUCCGUCAGUGUCCUGCUUCACUUCUUUUCGGUGGCUAGUUCUCGAGAGGUCCUCGUUGGCUACAAGUGGUUUUUUUGGCUCAUCUGUAGUGCUUGGUGGUUGAUUGGGUAGUGUGGCGGUGCGUCGGCACCCUUGUAUCUUGCCUUGGUUGAGUGUGGUGUGUGUGUUGGUGGCUUGUUGUAUCCGGAUGUGUAUCUCUGGUUGUUGCUUUAUAUAUAAAGUGGGUGUGGAGGCUGGGAAUGUGGUGUGGAGGCUGGGAAUGUGGUGGCUAGGGGUUGCUGUAAGCCAAACAGAAGUGGUGAAGUUGUUUCUCAAACAAAAGAGAGUUGUUGCAGUUGUGGUAGCUUUAUUUUUUUGUGAAGAAGGGUCCCUAUAUAUUAUAAACUUCACCAGUAGUACAAAGCACUCCCUACAUAGUAAAAAUGACAUUGAGGUCCUUGGACCACUACCGCCAGCAGAACAAGCCGUCCACGCGCUGCUGUCGCUCUUCCUCUACCGGUGUCGGCCUGACCUUGUCGAUGACAGUUGGGAAGUCUUCGUGCAUGUGUCCUAAGUACCAGCAUCCUGGACCUGCAGUCGUUGUCGUUGAACCCAUGAAUCGGUCCGAAGCGCUUGACACCAUAUGUCGUUGUAAAGAAUGUGAGGCGAGAAACCUAACCUCGCCACUCCAAGGAGAUGGCAUGACAGGAACAAUGUCGAAUCUGCCCUGAUGUCUAGGUUAGAUAGGAAGAAUGGUCGAGACGUGACCGAUGGAGCCAGGGUGCUGGGAUUGGUAGUUUUGUGGAGAUCAAGAUGAGCUAAUAUACACUAAUGUAUUACAAAAUAAACUAAUGAUGUCUUAUGGCCUGUGGCUUUGGCUGUUGGUUCUAGUGUUGGCUUCAUGGUUCAGGUUAAAGUAUCCCCAUGUCGCCAUCGGAGCCCUGGCGUCCUCUGCACCCAUCCUGCACUUCGACGACAUCACCCCGUGGUCAAGCUUCCAUGAUACCGUCUCACAGGACUUCAAGGUAAUUUUCUAUAUCUAAAUAACUAGCUGUCACUAACUAUUUUAAAAAACAUGCAGCUAUGCUAUUGCUACCUCAUUAUCCUAAUAAGUUCUAGAAAUUAAUUGCAUGCAUGUGUCCUUCGCACCAAGUUUUCUUCCCCACAUUUAUGCGGGGUUUUUCUUCUUCUGAAUUCCCUACUCGUAAGUGAGUGCACAUAUGAUGCGAUCAAGAUAUACAAUAUUAUAAUUAAAAUACUCAUAUUGAUACAAUAAAAUCACAUGGAAAUAUAUUGCAACCAAUUCCUGCGGCAACGCGCGGGGUGUCAUCUAGUAUAAUUAAUUACCACUCCAUAGUAACAAGAAAAAGAAAUAAGUUGGCCUAAUUAUUAGUCUUGAGAACGCACGGCAGGUCGACAUGAACAUCUUCUGCAAACUGAUCGAUGGUGUCAGCUCUGGAAAUUAUUAGUACUGCUACUGAUUGCACUUGUUGUCACUUGUCGUCCGGUAGCAUGUCUCUCUUCCUCUCAUCCUCUGGUGUUAUCAAUACUAUCAUAAUGGUUUUCAGUUUUGGAUUAUGAAUUGGUAAAUGGUGAUGGCGGCUAGCCCUUGCACUUUCCAUGGGCAUUCAGCUUAAAUUUAUUUGAUCGAAUGUUACCUUCCAGCCAAUGAUGUAGAUGUCUAGUUCUAGGUGAGGUCUUGCUUAUGAGUUCAUCAUGGCUAUUCAGUUGUUGACUAGCUUGAUUGCGAUGCUCAACCGCAUCAAGGGGCUAUUUUUUCGAACCAUGACUGCACGUGAACUAAAUAAAUAGCACCGAAGGACUAUCAAUAGGCGGUUGGGAGUAAGGUCCUCAUUUGGCCAAAGAUACGCAAAUUGAUGCAUUUUGUUCAAUGUUCAUUACUGAUGAUGAUGACGCAUCUGUUGCUAAUAACGUAGAGACAGGAUAUAACAUGGAAAUGGAAUGAUGAGUAACUUGCUAGUGACAUCUUUGCCUGACUGGUGCUUGAUUAGUCCUUCUCCCAAGAUGAAGUUUCCAUGAAAACCUAGGUGUUUAAUCAGCUGAUCGUCACAUCCAACUAGUUUUGCAGUCCGAGAGCCUGAAUUGCUUCAGUGUCAUCAAGGCAGUCUGGGAUGUGCUAGAUAACAGGGGAUCCAAUGACACAGGGCUCUUGGAGCUCAGCAAAACCUUCAGGGCCUGCAAGUAAGCUUUGCCUAACACAAUUACUCAAUCUUUUCAUGAAGGGAGAAAAUGAUUUUUUUCUCUCCUUUACUCAUAACUGUAUAGGACACCGGCCGCAUGGUAUAAAACUUUGAUAUAUGGAGAAAAACAAGAGAUUAAGACUGCAAGUAUUCUUUUCUAUCCGUAAAGUGUAAGCAAAGUAAACAAAUAGUCAAACCUUGUAGCAGGAAAUACAUGAAAAAAAGAACUUGCAGCCCCAAAGAAGGUACAUUAAGUUCAAUGAUAAAUCGAUGGACAUGUAAAUCUAAUCUUGCCAAGCUAACUGGAGUGUGAACUAAUGAAGGAUUUCAUACUUUGAGCGAAUUGACAACAAUGACACGGUUCAUGGCGUUGCUUUAUCCUUGAAUCUUAGGACCGUGCAGUUCAUUUAUCCGCUGAGCAGCUGGCUACAGACAGCGUUCAUCCACACAGCCAUGAUGGACUAUCCAACCCCAGCAAAUUUCUUGAUGAAUCUGCCUGCUUACCCAGUCAAGGAGGUUAGCCACUUGUAACCUAAUUUACAACUAUUAUUCUCGCCUGCAUUACAUCAAAUGAAUGAGAGUAACAUGAGUUUCAGAGUUACCAAACUGAGUCAUGCAAAAAGAGGACCUGUUCUUUUUACUCCUCUGCGUUGCAUGUAAUUCUCCUGACAUUUCUGCAGAUGUGCAAGAUCAUUGAUUCUUUUCCUGCGGGAGCUGACGUCAUCGACAAGGCUUUCGCUGCGGCGAGCGUGUACUACAAUUACACAGGCGACCAGAAAUGCUUCCAGGUGGAGGGUGGCGAUGACCCUCAUGGCUUCAAAGGAUGGGGCUGGCAGGUACAAGCCUGACUCACAUACAUGUGUAUGUGGUGUACUGAACUACUGAUAACACAUGAAGACUGAGAAGUAUCAUAUAUGUGUCUUACGAAACAAACUCUUGUGCAGGCCUGCACAGAGAUGGUCAUGCCAAUGACGGUGUCGAACGAGAGCAUGUUCCGACCAUCCAGCUUCAGUUACGAGAAGAUGUCCGAGAACUGCCUCGCGGGCUACGGAGUUCGUCCGAGGAUGCACUGGAUCACUUCUGAAUAUGGUGGCCAUGUAAGUUUUUAUUCAGAUUUUCAUGUUUACAUACGACCGUCAGCAGCAGCAUUUCUUUGGGUGGCAUGUGCUCACCUAGUACUGCAUUGCACAACCCACUACAGAAAAUUGACAAGGUUCUCAAGAGGUUUGGGAGCAACAUCAUCUUCUCCAACGGGAUGCGAGACCCAUGGAGUGGAGGCGGGUAGGAGUAAAAGAUUUCUCACCAUCUGAUCUAUUCAUGUUGAUAGUUUCAACCAUUUAGGUAGCAAUUUUACCAUAGUAAACAAUAGUAAUAGUCUUCCUUCCGAACUGCUACCAGGGUACUCAAGAACAUAUCAUCCAGCAUCAUUGCUCUUGUCACGGAGAAAGGUAAACUUGAAGUUGUAGAAAAUAUGUAAGGUCAAAGUAUUCUGAACUUACGAGUGGCUACUUGUGGUGAUGUUCAGGGGCCCAUCAUUUGGACUUGAGAUCUGCAACCAAGGAUGAUCCAGACUGGGUUGUAGAACAAAGGAGACAGGAAGUUGAGAUCAUACAUGGAUGGAUAGAUCAGUAUAACAAGGACACUGCACAGGGGUAGCAGUAAGAAGGCGGCAUUGAUUUUCAGAGUCAAGGAAAAUAAAUAUGGCUUGGUGGCUUUAUUAAUCUAAAGUCGGGCAAUCGUUUUUUAUCUAAAUAAAUAAAUUAAUAUGGCUACAUACAAAAUGUAAGGAUUUUCCUUUCUUCUACAGGGCGAUAAGCACAAAAAAAGAGAUAAUGCAUUAGUGCAACUUCAAAUUCAAUUAUACACCAGAAAUUCUUGAACUUAAGCAGUCAUAUAUACGUGAAUCAUGAAUGCAGAGGUUCUCCUUUUCUUAACUGUUGCAGUGAACAUUGAAUUUAGGAACAGACUUGUAUUUGACCCUGCUGAAAAUUUAAGAAAAAGGGUUUCCCCCCCUUUAUAUUAGGGGAGCACUAGGCAUCAGACUACUGAUGCCUCGCUUUCUAUCAGACCAGUCCACAGCCAUCCGAUCAGAUGCAUCCUGGUAGUCAGAUCAGAUCAGCUAGUCUAUUCCCGCGCGUGAUUUCUGGAUUGAGGCCCGAUAGCAGUUCCUUGUUUUGCCGCGAUGGGCAUGGUCGUAGCUAGUUUCCACCAAUUACUGUUACUAACUCUUCCUACAAUUGUGCUUCCGGAAAUCAUUCGUUAACCAUAUAUAAAAGGAGAUAACGUGCAUCUUCAUGCCAUGAAACAAUGUAUAUAUUUUCCACGGCGAAUGUGAAGCACUAACCAUGUACUACGUCGAUACAAAAUACGCAAGCUGUUGGGACAUAUUCCCUUUGCGUCGGCACAGCAGGGACUAUUGUGUUGCUGCCAAGUUGCGCAUGAUGCCAAUGUCGUCGAAGCGGAUGAGCGGGGUAUGUCGACUAAGCAUAACGUCGUCUUACAAAUGUGGCAUAUUUUCCUCAAAUAAAUGAUGUAAAAAGGCUGCGAUGCUUCCGACAUUGUAAUGUGGCAUAUUCUCAUGUAGUAUGUCAUGCUAGCAAAUUACCUAUGUUUCUGACAUUAUUGCUACAUGCUUCUUAUUUGUAGAAUAUUAUAAUUUGUUUCAUGCCACUAUAUAUUGCCACUGCCACAGCUAUGCUUCGAACAAUACUAAUUGUUGCAUGCUCCCUGUAUUACACUGAUGUUUGUUUCCCAAACAACAUACACAUCAAUUAGUAAUUUUGUAUGCUUCCAUUUUUUCCGCUACUUCCUUUGUACAUAGCUGGUUAGAGUUUCAGAUUCGUAGUAUGUUGCAGCAUCAACCAAUCAUAUUUUCAACCGAUGCUACAGGAUUCAUGUCUCCACAAUAAUCACUUCUUUCCGCAAAAGAACCGACCGUCGAUGCGUCAAGCAUGCCCAGGGGCGUGUUGGAGGACAUUGUCGUGGACAGGGCGCGUUUGCUCGUCUGGUCAAGAAACAUAUCCAAGAAGCAAAGAAUCAUGGUUCACCAAUCUUUGAAGCAAAGUGUUAGUACAAUAAACACAUGCACGAGACACACCAUGGAGGCAUGUAUGAUCGUAUUGAGCAGAUGCUGAAAAUGACAAGAAAACUCGCAUCAUGCCAUACAAGACCUUGAUACAGAAUUAGCAACGUGGGGUGAAGGUGGCGCCUCGCUCAGGGCAUCACAUGUUGUCAUCUGGCCAAACUUACCUGGCCUGCCAUGCGAGCAACACACAAGCCAUAAGACGUUACCACACAAGGAUGGACCAGAUUGGUGGAGGAGGGAAGAGGGUGCUGGUUCUCCGUCGAGCAUGGAGUCGCCGCUUGGAAGCAGGCACCGCGCUCGGGUAAUGGCGGCAUGGCCACCUGAUGACGGGAGGGUGCACCACGGCACAUGUCGCACCGGCGCGGUGUGUCUCACGGGCAGAGGGGGAGGCUGGUUCAUGACGGAGAGGUGAGGGUGGUGAGCGGAUUGACGAGAUCGGCGGCACGGGCGCGUCGGAUGCGUUUAUAGCAGGUCAUAUUAAUGCGGGAUGGAUUAUAGCAGAGGAUGUGGCUAGAAAAUCGGAAGGGGCUGUUUUCAAAACACGUCGUUGCGGAAGCAUUCUGGACCGUGAGAUUUAAAUCAAAUCGACGGCAUGCGACUAGUCUGACGAAUGACUUUUACCAGAAGUCUGCUAAUAAGUGUUUUCCUUUAUAUUAUAAAGCAACGAACCAAGCAUCCAACACAUCAGUAUAAAGUACGAACAAGUCAUAAAGUCAUGCUGGGGGCACAGCAGGACAAACCCCAAACGAAGCUAAAAAAAGUUAAUCCGGCUCGGGAGGUCCCUGCUGAAAAUUUUAAUGCAUGGUUUUGACAUAUGCGAUGUCUAUGACGCGUGGGGUCUGAGUCCACAUGUUAUACACAUGGGUCAUAUUUCACAAAAAUAAAUAAAAUAGACAUGGGCCAUGUUAUUAAUUUGCAGGGGCAUUGCAUUAAAAAUAAGAACACCCAAACUGGCUAUAACUGACAUAACAUAGCAUAACACGGUUUAUUCUUGUAUACACCACUGUUUAUGAUCCCAGAAAAUAAGACGGAUUUUAUUAAAAGCUAAAGCUAUGUCGAUGGAAGCCCCGAAACCUGCUUCUAAUUAACUCGACCACUGAAAUUUGCAGAAUUUCACAUAUACAAUAUGCAAGAUCAGCAGUUUGUGAACACACAUGCAGAAACAUCUCUCGCAAAAUACAUGAAAGCAUCAUCUCGAGUGAAAUCCUGCAUCGCGAAGAGGAUUGAUUUAGAUACACCUGACCAGCUCAGCAGAUUUAUAUGCAAAGUCUGAAAAGUCUAGAGAUAGUGUCAAAUCAUCAUAAAGAAGCACAUGAUUUUUUUCACCUGAAUAUGAUCUCGUUUAAAAAAAAGGGUUCAUCCGGAGAGAAGGGAAACCAAAUGGAAAACCUAAACAGGUCGACCCUAUUUAUGAGAAAGACAUACCAAAAACCACAUGAGCAACAAGGCCUUGUCAACCACACGGCACACGACCAUAGUCUUAGCCAAUACACACUUCCGGAUCUGGAGCCGCCGCUCCGACUUGUCCUGCUCGCACACAAGCUGCAACGUCGCGCAACUCGGUCACCACAUAGCCCUUUGUUACUCGCUCCGAUCCAUAAUAAGUGUCUUAGUUUUGAACUAAGGUUGAACUAACCUUAAUUCGAAAUUGUGACACUAAUUAUGGAUGGGAGGGAGUAGUAGUUAUCUUCCAACCACACAAUUUUACUUUGAGACGUCUUAUAAUGAUAUUAGUGGAGCAAUGUCAUAUUAUGACAAUAAGAUUAAUACAAUAACAAUCGGCCCCGCCGCCGUCAUCCUAGGGCCCGGCAUGGCUUCACCGGCCGUCCCCCCGACGACAGCGACGCGGGGGCGGGCGGGAGGUGAUGGCCGGGCCGGCGGCGGCUAGGGUUUUCCCCGAGUCGCCCACUCGGGGGUUGGGCCUCUACCUCUUCAUGAAGGUUCUUAUAUCCCAGGAACUCCGUGUAAUGUUGUUGAUUGAUUAAUAAAACCGACAUUUCUCUAAAAAAAACUUAGUGUUGUACGACCAUCUUGUCUCGUCCGUGUUCUUAAACCCCACAGAACACUUCAUGAGGCAGCAGUGGGGAAUUUUCCGCAAUGGACAAAAGCCUGACGGAGCAAUGCCGCGUGGAGGUGGAAGGCCUACGGGUCGUCAACUUCUUUUCUCGGUAUUUGAUCUUGCUCCCUGCCCCUUUUUUUCAUGGAAAAAGGAAAUAUCAAUUUCUCCAUUCAUUGAACCCUAGUUCGUUCUUCGCUUUGCAUCGAAUUAAACCACAUGCUCCACCGCUUGUGCGGGCCCCCGUCAAUUCCUUUGAGUUUCAUUCUUGCGAACGUACUCCCCAGGCGGGAUACUUAACGCGUUAGCGCAAAGAAUGAACCCCACACGACACGAGCACUGACAUGAGCAACCUGCAGUGAGAGCUCUAGCGACGGGCAAAAAUGGCGGCCUCCUCCUCUUCUUCACAGCGUUCGCGCCCACACCACUGGCAGCAGCAGCGACCUCCUCCAAGCUUCCCAGCCAGCCUCCUCCUUUCCCUGCUUGGCUCGCUCCUCUGCAGCAGCACCGGGCGGCAAGCUCGAGCGGCAGGUACACCACCGCCGCCACGGCCUCCGCGAAGCCGUUCACGGCGCACUACUUCCCGCAGGAGCUGGAUCACUUCACCUUCACGCCCAACUCCUCCCGCGUCUUUUCCCAGAAGUACCUCCUCAACGACACCUUCUGGCGGAAACCCACCGCCGGCGCCGGCGGCGUCGGCCCUCUGUUCGUGUACACGGGCAACGAGGGCGACAUCGAGUGGUUCGCCACCAACACCGGCUUCAUGUUCGACAUCGCGCCCGAGUUCGGCGCCCUCCUCGUCUUCAUCGAGGUACUCUUUUGGCCACAUCCUCUGCCAUGGCUGAUGUCGUCGGUGACCGCACGCGCCCUGGUCCAAAAUUUGGUUGUCCUAUUGAUUCUCUCGAGACAAGACACCAUUUUUGCUGUUGUUUAAGCUUCCAUAGUAAUCACUUGUUUAAACUUUUUUCUUGUCAUGCUAAUUAGCAUCCAUAGUAAUUACACUUUAUUUUCCUUUUCCUUCUCACAAUGAAAAAAUACGCAAGCUUUAUGUAUUCGUGAAAAAAGAGAAAAUACUAAUUAGUACUAACUGUAAUCACUUGUUCAACUAGUAUAAUAGUACUAACUUGUUUGAAAUUUGUGUGCAGCAUCGGUACUACGGGGAGUCGAAGCCGUUCGGAAACGACUCGUACACGUCGGCAGACACGGUGGGCUACCUGACGUCCACGCAGGCGCUCGCCGACUUCGCCAUCCUCAUCACCAGCCUCAAGCAGAACCUCUCUGCCGUCGACGCCCCCGUCGUUGUCUUUGGCGGCUGCUACGGCGGCAGUAUGUCCAUCACCGACGCGUCUCCCCAUAUCGCCAAUUAAAUCCAUGUGUGCGACAAUCUUUUUUGAGAGAAAAUUAGGAUGAGCUAAUCUACAAUAAUAAUGUAGUCAGUAUGGAUGCAUCUUCCAAAAAUAAAGUACAGUAAAUGAUUUUAUGCCUGUUGUUUCUAGUGCUGGCUUCAUGGUUCAGGCUCAAGUAUCCCCAUGUCGCCAUGGGAGCACUGGCAUCCUCUGCUCCGAUACUGCAGUUCGACGACAUCACCCCGUGGUCUAGCUUCAACGACGCCAUCUCGCAGGACUUCAAGGUAAUAAUGGGAAUUAAUCAAUACUACUGCAUAACAUCAAAGUAUCACCGGUCAAAUUAUUGGUCAUGACAACGCAUGGCAGAUCAGCAUGCUCUGCUCUGGAUACUGAAUUUCACUUGUGGUCACGGUGUUGGCCCUGAAUUACUAUUAGUACUGAAUUUCAUUUGCUGUCGUGUUAUCAGUACCUAGCGGCACCUUAGUGGUUUUCAGUUAUGAAUUAUGAAUUGGUGAUGGUGUUUUUCUUCAAAAGCAUGAGCGUAACAGAUGUUUUUUUUCUCCGAAAAGGAGGAUUACCCCCGGCCUCUGCAUCGAGCGAUGCACACUGCCAUUGAUGUGUUUGAUUAGAAUCUUUCAAGAAAUAAUACAUGGAAUUUAAGUGCGUGACUGAAAUGGCUAAUGAUGUGGAUGUCUAGGUGAGGACUUACCUUAAUGAGUUCAACACGGCUAAUGAUUCAGUUUUUGAUUAGUUUGAUUGCGACGUGCAACCUCGCCAAAACGCUAUCAAUAGGCGGUUAUGAAUAAGGUCCUCACUUGUCCAAAGAUAUGCAAAUUGAUGUAUAUUUUGUUCAUCAUUGAUGCCUGAUGACACAGCUUUUACUAAUACGGUAGAGACAAGAUAUAAAAAAGGAAGGGAAUGACGAGUCACUUGCUAGUGACAUCUUUGUCUGAUUGAUGCUUGAUUAGUAGCUGUACCAAGUCAUGUUUCCAAAAAAAAAAAGUGUUUAAUCAGCUGAUCAAUUAUAAGUUUGUAACAUCCAACUAAUUUUGCAGUCUGAGAGCCUGAAUUGCUUCAGUGUCAUCAAGGCGGUCUGGGAUCUGCUAGAGGACAAGGGAUCCAAUGACACAGGGCUCUUGGAGCUCAGCAAAACCUUUAGGGCCUGCAAGUAAGCUUUGCCCAGCACAAUUACAGAAUUACUCAAUCUUAUCAUGCAGGGAGAAAAUGAUUUUUUUUCUUUACUCAUAACUGUAGAGGACGCCGUCUCCAUGGUAUAAAAUUUACUAGUGUAGGGCGAAAAACAAAAGAUUAUGACUGCAAGUAUUCUUUUCUUUGUGUGAAGUGCAAGUAAAUCAAACAAAUAGUAAAACCUUGUAGCCAAGAAAUACGCGAGAAAAUAACUUGCAGCCCCAAAGAUGCACAUUAAAUGCAAUUGGUAGAUUGAUGGACAUGCAAAACUCAUCUUGUCAACGAAGCAUAUCAUACUUUGAUCAAAUCGACAGUGAUGACUCGGGUUCGUGACAUUGCUCUAUCUCUUGUAUUUUAGGACGGUGCAUUCCGUUUAUCCGCUGGCAUUAUGGCUAAGGGCAGCAUUCACCACCACAGCCAUGGUGGACUAUCCAACUCCAGCCAAUUUCAUGAUGAAUCUGCCUGCUUACCCUGUGAAGGAGGUUAGGCACUUGUAACCUAAUUUACAACCCUUACUCUCGCCUGCAUUACUACAUCAAAUGUAUCAUGAAUGAGGAGAGAAACAUGAGUUUCUACCAAAACUGAGUCUGAGGACCUGUUUUUAUUCUUUUCUGCUGAGCAUGUAAUUAUCCUGACAUUUCUGCAGAUGUGCAAGAUCAUUGAUUCUUUUCCCGCGGAAGCAGACGUCAUCGGCAAAGCUUUCGCUGCGGCGAGCCUAUACUACAAUUACACAGGCGACCAGAAAUGCUUCGAGGUGGAGGGUGGCGAUGACCCUCAUGGCCUCCAUGGCUGGGGCUGGCAGGUACAAGCCUGACUCACAUACAUGUGAAUGUGGUGUAGUGAUAACAAAUGAAGCCUGAGAAGAUCAUAUAUGUGUUUUCUGAAACAAACUCUUUUGCAGGCCUGCACAGAGAUGGUCAUGCCGAUGACGGUGUCGAACGAGAGCAUGUUCCCACCGUCCAGCUUCAGUGACGAGAAGAGGUCGGAGGGCUGCCACCUGGUCUACGGAGUUCGUCCAAGGAUGCACUGGAUCACUACUGAAUAUGGUGGCCAUGUAAGUGUUUGUUUCAGAUUCUCAGUGUUUACAUAUCAGUAGCAGCAUCUCUUUAGAUGGCAUGUGCUCAUCUGGUACUGCAUUGUACAACCCACUGCAGAAAAUUGACAAGGUUCUCAAGAGGUUUGGGAGUAACAUCAUCUUCUCCAACGGGAUGCGAGACCCAUGGAGUAGAUUUCACCAUAUGAAUCAUGCAUGAUGAUAAUUUCGACCAUUCAGGUAACAAUUUUACCACAGUAAAAAAAUACUAAUAGUAUUCCUGUCAAACUGCUAUCAUCAGGGUGCUCAAGAACAUAUCAUCCAGCAUCAUUGCUCUUGUCACAGAGAAAGGUAAACAUGAUUGCAGCAAAUAUGCAACGUCAAAAGGAUUCUGAAACUUACUUAAACAUGACUACUUCUUUUGUGGUGGUGAUGUUCAGGGGCCCAUCAUUUGGACCUCAGAUCAGCAACCAAGGAUGAUCCAGACUGGCUUGUAGAACAAAGGAGACAGGAAGUUGGGAUCAUACAUGGAUGGAUAGAUCAGUAUAACAAGGACAUUGCGCAGAUGUAGCAGUAAGAAGGCGCCAUUGAUUUUCACAGUCAAGGAAAAUUAAUGUAGCUACAUGGAAAAUGUAAGGACUUUGCUAUGUUCUACAGGGCGAUAAGUACAAAAACUGAAGAUAGUGCAUUAGUGCAACUUCAAAUUAAACAAGACACCAGAAAUUUUUGAACUUAAGCAGUCAUAAACGGAUCAUGAAUGCAGAGGUUCUCUUUUUCUACUUCUAGAACUGUUGGCGCUGAACAUUGAAUUUAUGACCCCAGAAACUUCUUAUCGAUGAAACAAAAGUUCACUGAAACAUAUCAACAUGGAUCUUGGUCAAAAGAUCUCGGGGCGAGGAUUCCAACGAUGAAAACGGUUCAGAAUUUGGAUGCACGAUUUAAAAAAUAAAAUGUUUUGAAUAAACGAAUCUAAAAAAACUCCCAUAUUACGACAAAUGACGCAUCUGCACUGCGUCGCUUUGUUGCAAUUAGAAGGUGGGAGUGAUCUUUACAAAGAGUACUUCUUAAUUAGUGAUUUUGCUCUUUUACUUCUUUUUAAUAUCUUUCACGCUUGGGCUGAGCCCACCUGCUGGCCGAAUGUACACAUAAAUGGGCACAUGCCAUGCAAAGCCCUGGGAGGUGUCCUUUCCCGCCCAGGCCUUGAUCCGAAACCCUAUUCAACGCCUUAUACGCCGGUUAUAAGUGAUUACGUAAUCCGGCGAACCCCGCCAUCACCCUUGGGCUUGGCCCAUGUAACUCUUUUUUUUUCCAGGUUGGCAACGUUUGUCUCGCGUGUAGUUCCUGUUCGACCAGUCUAGAUAGUUUUUUUUCUCAACGGGGUUUCCUGGUUUUUUCAAGGAUGGGCUUUGUAAGGGUUUUCUUAUUUCUUUUCCUUUGUCAUUUUUAAUUCUUUUUCAAAAUUCAUGAUUUUUUUUAAAAUCGUGAACAUUUCUUAAAUUUGCGGACUUUUUUUUCAAAUUCAUAAAAAUGAAAAUUUUGAGCUUUCCCAAUUUUGUUCAUCAUUUUUUCCCUUUCUAUUUUUUUCAAAUGCGUGAACUUUUUUCAAUUUCAAGAACUUUUCUACAACUCCAGAACUCUUUUCAAUUUUCCUGAACAAAUUUUGCAAACUGUUUUUCAAUUUUUUGUGAACAUUUUUCAAAUGCAUAAACAUUUAUCAAAUUAGGAACUUUUCAAAACCUGGGAUUCUUUUUGAAAUCCGUUAAUUUUAUUUGAAUCCAUUUACAUCUUUCAAAUGCAUGACCAUUUCCAAGUCCGCGAACUUUUUUCCACUUUUGCAAAAAAAAAGUAAAAUCAAAAUUCAUGAUUUUUUCAAAUCCAUGAACUUUUUACAUUUUUUUUUAAAAAUCUUGCUUUUUCAUAUAUGUGAACUCUAUUGAAAUUUAAGAACUAUUUUGAAACCCAUGAUUUUUUUAAAAUUAGUUUUUUAAUUAAAUAAAUUAAAAGUCACCGGUCAAACGUUUCGCCUGCACCCAAUCAACCACCUUGCAAUCGAUGAAAGGUCCACUUGUCAACCCACCAGGCAUAACUAACUGGGGCAGCCCAAUAGGUGCGCGCGGGCGCCAGUUGGCCUCUUAAGAAGCAUUUUUGUCCUGGCAUCUAACAUCUGACAUGACACAUUGUUGUAGUAGAGUGGAUGAAAGUGUCACGAAAGACGUAAAACAUAGACACAAUGUCAAACAGAAAGGAGAACAUUUUUAGGUCCAAGUAGAGAAAGGUAGUUUUACACUUUAUUUUUAAAACACGUCCCAUUUAUUAAUUGUUUAGAAAAGUAUUACAACCACUUCUUACAGCAUAUGCCAGGCAGGGCGGACAACUAUUAAGAAGAAUACCAUCAGACCUAUUAUCAAAAUGAAACUGGCUUGGCAAUUUUACCUUAGACAUAUUAAAGCUAUUGAAAAACUAAAUGGUGCUAUGAGCUUCCUUCUUCAUAUCAAUAAGAGGGGACCUGUCAAGAUUUUCAUUUGCACGGAAAGAGGCCAUAAAAGCACAAUCAAUUUCCAAAAUACUUGGCAUGUGAAGCGUAUACCGAUGUAAAGACCGGUGAGGCAUGCCCAAAGCUUAGCUUCAUCCACAAUGGUGCACAACCCAAUAAAAUUCCACGAAGAUAUGACAACAUCGCCAGAAGCUCGUUUCAGUUAGUGUCAAGUAGGCAAUUCUCUCUACAAAGUCCCGGAAAAAAAUCUCUUUACAAUGUAAGCCCAUGGGUGGUAGAAGAUUUAUGUACGGUAGCAUUGUGGACAACCAUGUGUUUUCUUGCAAUGGAUGAUCUUUGGUUAGAACUCUAUUACUUGCUUAAGCAUUGAAUCCAAUACAACUUCUGGACUGUUUUUUUUUGAAUGGGGAGAACCCCACCUGUAUACUGAUCUCAAUUAAAAAAACAUUGAACCAGUUUAUGUGAAAAACUUGAUAAAACACCAUGAUUGGAUUUAUGUGAGAAGCUGGAUCAAAAAUCUUGACAACUUAUGGGGCAAUAUGUUUUGCCAAAGCAAGAACACAACUUCAGGACGUCCGGGAAUUUGCUUCGCUGCCCUUUGUUUAAUAUUUUGUUUGCCUUUUGCUAGUUAUCUAGCCGCACUAUUCUGUAAACUUGUAAACCUUGAUACCCGUAAGGGCCUUAUUCUAAGGCCGUGCAAUAGCCUCUUAUAUAUCCUUAAAAAGUACUAUUGGCAGUCUAAGGGUUGACUCUUGCAACGAACACAAUAUGGUCUGUGGUGGACUGGUGGUCCCUAUCUUUAUCCUUGGCGUGUGUUCUUCAUAGUUUUAUGAGUAGAUAAGGUGCAUCAAUAAAUGGAAGCAAAGAAGUUGUCACUCAAGUCAGAGCAAGUGUAAUAAGGUACAGUCAGCAGGCUAUAGAUUAAUAGCCGGCUACAACAUGGACUCCAAGAAACAUUAUGAAAGUGUAAGAUGGGCCAUGCAUUAAUAAACUAGUACUACUUAGCAACUAACUACUAUAUAUGAUAACUACUAUUAGGUUGACUAUAUGUGAUAUGGCAACUACAUAUAGCCGGUUGUUGGCUAUACUAUUCCCUCCGUGUAGGUGCAUAAGGCUGGUUGUAAUGGGAAGUAUCAUAUACUAGUAUCAUGCAUAUGAUACUAGCGUAUGAUACUACCUCCUUAAUGCAUAGUAUCAUAUAUUAGUAUCAUGUAGUACUUUAUUUAUUGUCAUGCAUGACACAUAGCAGCAUAUCAUUUAUUAUGAUACGGUAUCAUGAUAUGAUACUCAACUCUCUCUUUCUUCAUUUAAUUCUAUGACACCUCAUCAAAAUUGCCUAGUUGGCAUGCAUGAUACAAGCUAUGAUACUCCCAUUACGACCAGCCUAAGUCAUCUUAGGUUGUGCACCAUGACUAAGGAGGAGGGAAAAACGAGAUGACUUAAUGUUUAUUUGCUAAUUAAUAGCACUGCAUGCAAUGAACUGACCACUGCAUGUCGUGUUUGGUAGUCUCAAGUCAUUAAAAGCAUGUACGCCCCACAUCUCUUAUUGGUUGAUUCCUUUAUUUAUGUCAAGAAACAAGAAACGAGAUGAGAGUUAAUGAACCAUGCCUAAGUGUUUUGAAAUUAUUUGGUUUUCAUAAGGUGACUUGUACACCUAGACGGAGGGAGUAUUAACCAUGCUCUCACUUGGACCACAAUCACAAUCCUUAUGCCAUGUGGCUCUGUGGUGCAUUGUGCGUGCUGCAGGUGCAACCCAACAUGUUUGUUCCUAUCCUAUUGUUGGCGCUACUACUGUUGCACAUCAUCAAUCGGGAUGGGCAGGCUCGUGGCAGUGGCACCACUACGAUUGUGGUUGUUCGCGGUCUCUGGCCUCCGGGUAUGCAGGUGUCCAUGUGCAUGUACCUCACUGGAUUCCUAUUAUUUCUCGUAUCUUGCAAAGUUGCAAGUGGAUCAAACCUGCAGGGUCACACGCUUAAGGGAUUACGACCAGUUGAGUUCUAUAGGAGCUAGGAAUAUGAGAGAAUAUUAUCAGACAAGUUUCGGAAAUAAAAAAAUAGUUUCGAGAGAAGCCAGAAGCGUUUUGGGGUUACCGGAAGGGUGUCAGGGAAUACAGGGUAAUAGCAUAUAGGUGGAAUUUGUACCCAGAGACCUCAUAUAAAUAUAGGUGUAAUUUGAUAUCGUAUCACAACCUAUGUUCACAGCCUAAAAAAGCGGGACCUGAAUGGAAGAACUCAACAGAACUAUCAACUGCUUACUGGUGAGCUUCUCCAGUCCGGUUUGCUUUUUUCAAUGGCCGGGGUGAUAAUUGCUUACUACUUUGUGCAUUUGGCAUCAAAGUAGCUACUUGCUGGGCAAUGGAGGGCAUCGAUGCGAAACGAAGGGAAAGUGAAUUUGGCACCGAGCAUACAUAGUGGAGGGCCUUAUAAUACUUAGGAUUUAUUUUUCUACCUUGGUCGUUUGAUUCGUUACAUGUAGUACAUUUUUCUAGAACGGAGGCGCUUUCCCGGCUUUAGUGAACUGAAACCCUUAAAACGUUUACAACAACUUAGUGAUAAAAUAAGCAGAAAGAUUCGAUACAGACCCUAUAGGGCCAACGACUCAAGAGCCAAAAACAAACGACAAACUAGAAAUCCAUGACGAAUCGUCGAUCAGCAAGCAUGAUGAAUCACCCUGUUGGCCGCCGAUCUCUCUGAUUUGUAGUAUAUUCCAUAGAAAAUCUAGCAUCUUCUAACAAAAAUAUUCCUUCAGCACAAAUCUGAAAUGUUACAAAAUAUUUUGUUAAUGUGCAUUAUGGUCAUUUGUACAACUGUGAUUUAUGUGAGCUGGCAUUUAUCUUGUCCAGUCGUGAAUCUUUGUUCAACAGUCUAUGCUUUUUCUUUAGGGAAAACAGUCUAUGGCUUGUCUUUUGAAGAAGCUUUUGUCAUUCCGACCGGCGGUGGGCCUGCUCUAUGGCUUUGAUGAGCCUUUGACAGGCCGAAUGAUGGGCUCCCCUGGUAGCCCCAUCAACCUGCAUCGAGUGCAGAUUCCACCUCUGCUGGAUUCUGCUGGGGAAAUGUAGAUUCUUUUUCCCAUUUUAACGUAGGAGCUGACUCAUUGCUCGCCCGUGUAGUCUUGCCUAGGCUGGUUCAGUGCGGGUGUGCUCGUUCGUUGGGGACAUGAUGAGGUGCGAGUAGAUUGCAUGCAUGGGGUGAUGGGGAUAUACUGUUGCAAGUGUGCAACUUGGAUCUUGGGAUGAAAUCAUUUGCUGAAAGUCGAAAAAAGUGAUGGAGAAUUAUGAAAGCUCAUCAUAUCUCAUGACUGCUCCUUGUGUAUUGGUACCGGCGUAGAUCGCGAGUAGAAAAAUGUGAAGGACUAUUAUGGAAGCUCAGUCAUAGCUCAUACUCCGGUGCUCAGGCUCAUCUACACUCGGUACGUUAAAAAAAUACAAACAAAUCUGAAUUUUUUAGGCAUCCAAGUUGCUCAUGUACACAUGGUGAGCGCACAAUUUCAGAUUGUUUAGACAUCUGAGGAGCUCGUGGCAAAAAAAAAACCCGGUUCUAUUGUUCUUUUUCAAAGUUUCUCGGACACCUAAAAUUUGUUUUUUGGCACGAGCUCCUUAGAUGUCGAAACACCACGAAAUUUUUUGGCACGAGCUCCUUAGAUGUCGAAACACCUCGAAACAUCUUGGAUGCCUAAAAAUUUCAUAUAUUUUUACUAUCCUUUUGAAUUUACUGUUCAUGCAUGGGUGUAGAUGAGCAUGCACUAGUAGAAAAAGGGUCAAAUGUCAAUCACAUUAGUGCCGGUUUGAUUUUGAGCCGACACUAAUGUGUGCAUUAGUGCCGGUUCCAACGGCUAGCCGGCCGCUCUCAUUAGUACCGGUUCGGGGCUAACCUUUAGCACCGGUUCGUGCCACGGACCGGUACUAAAGUGAGUGGUGGCAGGAUGUUGUCAGUCCGGGGCCCCUCCAGCACCUUUAGUACCGGUUCGUGGCACGAACCGGUGCUAAAGGUCGUCCUACAUAAACCCUUCGUCCACCCGAGCUCGCUCUGUUCUUCCCCUUUCCCCUCUCCUCUCUGUUCUUCCCCUCUUCCUCUCGAGCUCAUCACACAUUUUGCCCAAAAUUUGUCAAGAUUUGAAGGCCCCCAUCCAUUCAAAUGAUCACAAAGGUUAGCAACUUUGUCCUUUCAUCUCUCAUUGCUAGAUUAGCUCUUGCAAUGCUUUUGUAUAGUGAUUAAUUUAUGAGUUUAGUAAUUUGGGAGGAAAUAUAUGUGCUAGUAUUUGAUUUAUAUGCAAUUUGAGGUCAAAAAUAACACUUAGUUUGCAUAUGUAGGUGUGGUUUACUUAGUGCCUUCUAAAUCUCCGUCGUAACCACAGUCGAUCGCCCGCACCGUUCCGUCGCCGGCACCACCUUGUGGUGAGCCUCUUGUUCAUGAAUGUUUUACAUUACCAAAUUGAUGUUUGUGUGAUUUGGAUAUAUAGUUACUCGUAUAAUUAUCUUAAUCGUAUGUUGUUUAUUAUACAUAGUGCCAUGGUUUUGAUAUCCGUCCCCGUCGGCCCUCGUCCUUGUUAUGAUUCGGAUGUGGUAUAUUCUCUUUUAAAACUAGUUGUUGCAUUUCGUGUUUAUGACAAAUUAUGCCCAUCAAAUUGACAUAGAUAUUUUUGUCUAGGAGGUUUGUGAACCGGAAAUUCCAACCGACCCUAUUGUUGAGAGGUUAAAUUUAGUUGAAAGAGAAAACGAGUAUUUGAAAGAAAAAUUGAAAAGAAUUGAGGGGGAGAAGAUGGAAUUGGAGUUGCAUGUUGCCGAUGUCGUCGAUGAUCACAAGACCAAGAUGGAGAAAAUGCGUUUGAAGAUUAGAAAGAUUAGAAAAUAUGCCAUUGAUAGUGAGGCUUGGUAUCAUUAUGCUGUUGGACAAUUGUUAACUUAGUUGCGAUCUUGAUCGCAUUUGUUAUUGCAUUUAAAUGCUUUAGUUAGAGAGUUAUUUGUUUGUUGCAUUUAAGUCUUGUAUGAACUUUAUGUAUGAACUUGUAUUAAUUUGGUCUUUUCGGUGUUGUGUAAUGAAGAUGAGCCGACAAUGGAUGUACGAUGACCGAUGCUCUCCCGAGUUCAUUAAUGGCGUGCAAACUUUUCUGCUUGCGGCUGAGGCAAACAAGCGGGCGGAUGGUUUUAUGCCUUGUCCAUGUUUAGUAUGUAAGAAUGAUCACAAUUACUCUACGUCAAGAACCAUUCACGUCCACCUGUUUAAGUCCGGUUUCAUGCCCCACAAUAAUGUUUGGACCAAGCACGGAGAAAGAGGGGUUAUGAUGGAAGACAAUGAAGAAGAAGAGGACGACGACAGCUAUCCUGGCCAUGGGUUCCCUGAAUACGAUGAUACAACAAUGGGGGAAGAAGCUAAGCCGGCAAUGCGGGAAGAAGCUGAAGAAGAGGCAUCAGAUGAGCCCGUUGAUGAUCUAGGUCGGGCCAUUGCCGAUGCAAAGAGAAACUGCGCAAGUGAUUUGGAGAAGAAGAACUUGCAGCGCAUGUUAGAGGAUCACAAGAAAUUGUUGCACCCGAAUUGCGAAGCUGACAAGAAAAAGUUGGGCACCACACUGGAAUUGCUGCAAUGGAAGGCAGAGAAUGGUGUAUCUGACAAGGGAUUUGGAAAGUUGCUGGUAAUGAUAAAUAAUAUGCUUCCAAAGGACAACAAAUUGCCCGAGAGUACGUACGAAGAAAAGAAGGUUGUCUGCCCUCUAGGGUUAGAGGUGCAGAAGAUACAUGCAUGCCCUAAUGCCUGCAUCCUCUACCGCGGUGAGUAUGAGGAUUUGAACGCUUGCCCGGUAUGCGGUGCAUUGCGCUAUAAGAUCAGGCGCGAUGACCCUGGUGAUGUCAAGGGCGAGCGCCCCAGGAAGAAGAUUCCUGCCAAGGUGAUGUGGUAUGCUCCUAUAAUACCACGGUUGAAACGUUUGUUCCAAAACAAAGAGCAUGACAAGGCGAUGCGAUGGCACAGAGAAGACCGUAAGAAAGACGGAAAGUUGAGAGUACCCGCUGACGGGUCACAGUGGAGAAAAAUUGAGAGAAAGUACGGGAAGGAGUUUGCAGAUGACGCAAGGAACGUAUGGUUUGAUCUAAGCGCAGAUGGCAUCAAUCCUUUUGGGGAGCAGAGCAGCAACCAUAGCACCUGGCCUAUGACUCUAUGUUUGUAUAACCUUCCUCCUUGGUUGUGCAUGAAGCGGAAGUUCAUUAUGAUGCCAGUGCUCAUCCAAGGCCCUAAGCAACCCGGCAACGACAUUGAUGUGUACCUAAGGCCAUUAGUUGAAGAACUCUUACAGAUGUGGAAUGGAACAGGUGUACGUGCGUGGGAUGAGCACAUGGGGGAAGAAUUUGACCUAAAGGCCUUGCUGUUCGUGACCAUCAAUGAUUGGCCUGAUCUCAGUAACCUUUCAGGACAGACAAAUAAGGGAUACCGCGCAUGCACACACUGUUUGGAUGAUACCGACAGUAUAUAUUUGGACAAUUGUAGGAAGAAUGUGUACCUGGGACAUCGUCGAUUUCUUCCGAGUAGACAUCCCGUAAGAAAGAAAGGCAAGCAUUUCAAAGGUGAGGCGGAUCACCGGACGAAGCCUCGCCACCGUACUGGUGCCGAUGUACAUGAUAUGGUCAAGGAUUUGAAGGUAGCCUUUGGAAAGGGUCCUGGCAGACAACCUGUUCCGAAUGAUGCUAACGGACGCGCACCCAUGUGGAAGAAGAAAUCUAUAUUUUGGGACCUGCCCUAUUGGAAAGACCUAGAGGUCCACUCCGCAAUCGACGUGAUGCACGUGACGAAGAAUCUUUGCGUGACCCUGCUUGGCUUCUUGGGCGUGUAUGGGAAGACAAAAGAUACACCUGAGGCACGGGAGGACCAGCAACGUAUGCAUGGAGAAGACGGCAUACAUCAGGGUCAUGCCAGCUACGCUCUUACCAAAGAAGAGAAGGAAAUCUUCUUUGAAUGCCUGCUCAGUAUUAAGGUACCGUCUGGCUUCUCGUCGAAUAUAAAGGGAAUAAUAAACAUGGCAGAGAAAAAGUUCCAGAACCUAAAGUCUCAUGACUGCCACGUGAUUAUGAUGCAUCUGCUUCCGGUUGCAUUGAGGGGGCUUCUACCGGAUAACAUUCGAUUAGCCAUUGUGAAGCUAUGUGCAUUCCUCAAUGCAAUCUCUCAGAAGGCAAUCGAUCCAGAAAUCAUACCAAGGUUAGAGAAUGAUUUGGUGCAAUGUCUUGUCAGUUUCGAGUUGGUGUUCCCACCAUCCUUCUUCAACAUCAUGACGCACGUCCUAGUUCACCUAUGCGAAGAGAUUAACGUUUUGGGUCCUGUAUUUCUACACAAUAUGUUCCCCUUUGAGAGGUUCAUGGGAGUCUUAAAGAAAUAUGUUCAUAACCGUGCUAGGCCAGAAGGAAGCAUCUCCAAGGGCCAUGAAAAUGAGGAGGUCAUUGAGUUUUGUAUUGACUUUAUUCCUGACCUUAAGCUGAUUGGUGUUCCUGAAUCGCGGCAUAAGGGCAGACUGGAUGGAAAAGGCACGCUAGGAGGGAAUCAAAAAAUAUGUAUGGACGGACAUUCUCUCACUGAAGCACACUACACAGUUCUACAGAAUUCCGCCUUGGUGGCUCAGUAUAUGGACGAACACAAGAAUUUUCUACGCUCCAAACACCCGGAGCGGUCUGAUGACUGGAUUACACGUGAACAAACCAGGAGUUUCGCUGGGUGGUUGCAGACACGUACCAUGCAUGACGCCUCUAUUGAAGAUGACCUGUACUCGCUGUCCCAGUUACCAUCUUCGAAUAUAAUGACUUUCAAAGGGUACGAGAUAAAUGGUAAUACAUUUUACACGAUCGCCCAAGAUAAGAAGAGCACCAACCAAAACAGUGGUGUCCGCUUUGAUGCAACAACCAAUACGGGAAAGGAAACAUAUUAUGGUUACAUAGAGGAGAUAUGGGAACUUGACUAUGGACGUGGUUUGAAGGUCCCUUUGUUUCGGUGCAAAUCACUACAGGAAACAGCUACUUUGCCGUCUGCCACGGCGGACGGCAAAGGCUCGAAAGGCGGACGGCAAAGACCUUUGCCGUCAGCCGCGGACGGCAAAAGGCUCCGGCAAAGAAGGCUACGGUAAACAGCUGCUUUGCCGUCUGCUUCCUGGCGGCGGACGGCAAAGGCUCUUUGCCGUCUGCGGCGGACGGCAAAGAGGGCGGACGGCAAUAAUUGCACUGUCAGUCCGUUAAGUGGCUAACGGCAGACCUUUGCCGUCCGCCGCAGACGGCAAAAUUUCUCUGGUCUUUGCCGUCCGCCUUAUGAUGUCAUCUACACGUCACUAGAUGGCAGGUUCUUUGCUGUCUGCCACUGAUGGCAAAGUGCAGGUUCUUUGCCGUUUGCCACGGACGGCAAAGUCUUUGCCGUCUGCCACUGUAGGCAAACUGACCAAAUGGGUCAGCUCCCAGGAAGCACAGUUGGCUGCCACGUGGCUUCUUUGCCGUCCGCGGCAGACGGCAAAGAACUCUUUGCCGUCGGUGGCAGACGGCAAAGAGCCUGCAUAUUGUCUGUUUUUUCUGUUUUUUAUUAAAUCCCACAAUUUGCACAGAAAAUAUAUAAGUUUCAUAUCACAUAUCCAGCACAUAUCCAGCACAUAUCCAGCACAUAAGUUUCAUAUCACAUAUCACAUCAGUUUCAUCCAUACACAUUGUUCAUACAUAAGCAAGUUCCAUCCAUACACAUUGUUCCAUCCAUAUAUAUAUUACAAUGCAAUGUUUCAUGAAGAUAGCAAGUUCCAUCAUAGCAAGCUAGAUACAAUGCAAAGUUUCAUCAAAGGAAAAGCAAGCACUCCAUCAUAGCAAGCUAGCUUCCAUGAAGUGAAUGAAAUCUGCAAAAUGGUAAAUAAGAAAGUUAGAAAUAGGUGACUAGAACAAGAAGAAGACUAGAACAAGAAGUAUAUGUCAUUUAUGAGCUAACUUAGGUGAAAUGGAUCAUAUAUGAGCUAACUAAGUUGAAAUGGGUUGUUUAUGAGCUAACUUAGUUGAAAUGGAUCAUUUAUGAGCUAACUUAGUUGAAAUGGGUCGUUUAUGAGCUAACUAAGGUGAAGGGCAUCGUUUUUGAGCUAAGUAAGGUGAAAUGGGUCAUUUUGGAGCUAACCUAGGUGAAAUGGGUCAUUUUGGAGCUAACCUAGGUGAAAUGGGCCAUUUUAAAGCUAACGUAGGUAAAAUGGAUCAUUUAGGAGCUAAUGUAGGUAAAAUGGGUCAUUUUUGAGCUAACUUGGAUGAACUGCAUCAUUUAUAAGCUAACCUAGGUAAAAUGGGUCAUUUUGGAGGAAAAUAAGCUAACUCUAGGUCAUUAUGGUAAGCAUAUUGGAGGAAAUAAAGCUAAGUCUAGGUCUUUAUGCAUUUGUUAAGCAAAACACUAGAGAAACUUACCGUGAUCAGGGAGGUGUAGGAGCGGGGUGGCUAGUGCCGCUACCUGGAGAAGGAUUGUGCAAUGCGUUUCUGGAGUUAAGCUGCACCAAAGAUCAUUUCCAAUGUCUCGUUAGUAUUACGACACUCAAAUGUUAAGACUACCAAGUAAUGUCCAUUCAAACUAAACUCACCGUGCUCCCAGGAGCAAUCACUGGCAUCGGCGGAGCGGGCUGACCGGACUUCUCGCACACAGACUGCACAUUUGGUUUUCAGAACAGAGUCAUACUAGUUAGUAAUGAGACUCAAAUGUUAAGACUAGCAAGUAAUCUGCAGAAGAAACUUACCACAAGGAGCUCGUACAUGGCCCUUGACUGCAUGUCAUUCCGUGCCCUCUCCUCCUCCAUCAUCUUUCUCGUCCUCUCCUCCAUCUCCCGCUGCCUCUCCGCCGCCUCCGCCAGAAGUUUCUCCGUUCUAUCUCUCUCAGUCUGUAUAGCAGCCUGCAACACCACUCACAUGACCAUUUGUAAUCAUUGAUGGAAGCGCACACAAUGUAAUGGAGAAAGAUAACUGAGUACGUAUCACUAACCUUGAUGGCGAGUUGCACUGGCCAUUCACGAGGCCUUAUCUCAGGAGCGGAGCUCGACUGGCGCGCCUUGAUCUCCGGGAGAGUGCUAGGACAACGGAUAAGUCCAUCUCCAAUGGCUAUGGAGCCAUGGGACCUCCCGCCACCAGAUAUCAUCACCAGCUCUGGAUCAAUGGGACCCUGGCUCGGGUUAAAGUCCUCCCCUUUCCUCGCCUUCCCCUCAUCUCUAUAUCUCACGAGCUUGUUGUGGGAGGAGAUGUUGGUGAAGUUGUUUGCAUCAUCGAGGUCAGACUGAGAGAAAGCCUUGACUUUCUUGAAAGAGCCAGUGUGGGCCAUGGCAUAUAGGUCGUACACCUCUGGCACCUUAUCCGCCUUAUUGUAGCGUGCCUGAAAGAGAGAAACAAUGAAAAUUAGUAAUUAAAGGGCUCAAGCUAGCAUGAUGAAUGAAUUGCAUGAAUCAUGAAGCAAACCACAUACCCAGUUGCGCCUGAACUGAUAUAAGUUGGAGCUGCCUUGAUGGUGUGGCACACCUUCCAUUUGGGCACGUUUGUCCUUGGCCUGGUUGUGGAGGGCUAGCCAUUCUUGUGAGCACCACUCAUCGACCAACACCUCCCAACAAUCCAUCCGAUCCGCACACCAUCUCGGAGGCGCCUAAGUUAGCAAAUAGAAACUUGAGCGCUACGGCUAAGAAUUACUAAAUGAAGGAACUUAAGUAGAAGGCCUUAAGAAUUACCUUCAUGUACUGCUCCUUACUCAGGAACUUAUCGCGGCACGCCGGCUUGGUCUUCUUGAUACCACGCAAGGCGUAGUAGUCUCGAACAGCCUGCACCCGAGCCUCGUGCCGUAAGUUCUGGAGUAGGCGCUUGCAGACGUUUUGGAUAACAUUUGCGCUGUCCUCCUCGUAUCCCUCCUCACACCUGUAGAAUGUCUGCAAUCAAAUGAGACAAUAUUGAUUAGUACAAUUAAUAACUAGCUAGUUGAAGAUUUUGAAAUGUGUAAAGGAGAAAUUACCCAGAACGUCCUGAUCACCAUGUCUGCCCUCGUGUCGCACACGACACCGUCGAUAAUGACAUCCGGCGGGGCCGGGGCAGCCACGUAGUGCUCCCAGCUCAACCCAAGCUCUGGAAGCCGACCCUUACCAGGCAACGUGACAAACCCCGGGAAGUUUUGCCGGCAAUGAACUCCAAGGACGGAGUUGGGCCGGCGGACACUAUGAUGGUGGUCCCAACCCCUGCAGCAUGAAAAGGCCAACGCAUUAGUUAUUUGAAGAAACGUGAAUGCAGAAGGUACAAAAAUAUUAAAUACACUUACGUACCUCUCCCCAUCAGGGAAGAUCAACCACCUCUGCUCGCGGGUCGCCGGCACGGACGGGAGCCGUGUAGCACCACGCUGGUAGACGGUGCCACCCUCCUCCUCAAGAUCAGUCGGCUCUCCGCCAUCAUCAGCAUGGCCACUCGGCUCCUCGGGCUGAUCCGGCCAGGUACCCCAUCCGGACGUGUGCUCCUCUGGGGUCUCGUGGGCCGAAGGCCAGUCGACCCGAGGCUCGUGGGCCCAAGACCCGUGGACCGGAGGCUCGUGGACCGGAGUCCGUGUAGCCUCCUCCUCGGACGAGUCCACCCUAGCAGUCACGUGCUCGGGUGAAACAGCUGGGGGUGGCGGCGAGGAAGGCGCCCUAGCAGUCACCCUACCUCCUCUCCCGCGACCACGUGCCCCACCUCCUCUCUUCCUACCUCGUCCCCUGCUGGGCACCGCGGUCGACGAAGAAGGGCCCGGCGGUGUGGACAUACUGUCCAGCAACGCUCGGCGGAGAGGUACGUCUGGAAUCGAAGACCUCAGACCACGCGCCGACGAAGAAGGGGCCUUGGCGCGCUCCCGACCAGCGCCCACCAUCUUUCAACACCUGCCAUGACAAACAGUAAACGAAAUUAGUACAACAUAAAAAAAAGACCGACAUGAAUAAUAAUAUGUGUAUCACUUAAGUGUAUCAUCAUCAAGUACAACAUUAAAAAAUUUAAUACCUGACACUACUAAUAAUCUCGAUCAGUAUCAUCAAUAAAUGCAUAAUCAUCAUCAUCACUAUAAUCAAUGACGGGCUCAUAGGGUUCAGUGGCAUCAACAUGUGCAAGGCCACCUUGACGUAAUCGGUCAAGCAAUGACAAGUCAUCCGCAGCAGUAACCUCUUCUUGUUCCGGCUCUUCUUGUUCCUCCUCUGGGGUGAUGUCGGAUUCACUAUCGCUGUCUACUUCAAUGUUUUGGGGUGAAGUAUAGCGGUUCUUGAAACGCUUUUUGGAAAGACGUGUCUCUUGGAAGAAUUCUCCUUCAUAUGUGUCUGGGGUAAUGUGAGGUUCAUAAUCCUCUUCCUUUGGGGGAGAUAGUCUAGCACGUGGCGGCACUUCAUAAACGACAUCCCAACCUUUCAGAUUUGGAUUAGUUUGGCAGGCCCACGGUAGAUAGAAUACUUGGGUCGCCUGUUGAGCCGUAAUAUAGACAUCAGGAACAUCUAAAUGGGUGCUUUGGUUGAUUUCAACUAGCCCUAUAUGUUCAUGAGUCCUUCUAGUCUCCUUCGGCUGAAACCAAUAACAUUUGAAGACUACGACAUUCGGUGGGUUUUCACCAUAGAAUAGAAGUUCAUAAAUUGCUUCAACUCUCCCAUAAUACUCGGUACCUCCUUCGCCGAUAGCAGAUACACAACAAUUUGUAGACUUUCGGUCGGCCAUAGAUAGCUCUUUGCCAUAGGUACGAAAGCGAUACCCGUUGAUGUCGUAUUUGUCAAAUGAACUGACCUUAUAGUCAAAACCAUUAGCGACUUGUCUCAAUUUGGCGUCCAUAGACUCUGAAUUAGCCUACAAGUUUAAUAUGAAAGGAUUGUUGCAUUACGCACAAAUUAGCGAAUGAAACCGGGAUAGCCGCCUACAAAUUAGCCUACAAGUCUAAUAGAAAUUACCGUUUGUUUGAACCAAGAGAUGAAACCAGGAUAGCCGCCUCCUUGCUUUGCGAG